rnacentral:rRNA from 1 species
AGGACGAACGCUGGCGGCCGUGCCUAAUACAUGCAAGUCGAACGGCUUUUCUAUGGAAGCUUGCUUCCACUGAGAAGAUAGUGGCGAACGGGUGAGUAACAACGUGGGUAACCCUGCCCAUAAGAGGGGGAGUAACAUCCGGAAACGGGUGCUAAUACCGCAUAGUUUUCUUGAUCGCAUGAUCGGGAAAGGAAAGACGGCCUUUGUGCUGUCGCUUAUGGAUGGACCCGCGGCGUAUUAGUUAGUUGGUGAGGUAACGGCUCACCAAGACGAUGAUACGUAGCCGACCUGAGAGGGUGAUCGGCCACAUUGGGACUGAGACACGGCCCAAACUCCUACGGGAGGCAGCAGUAGGGAAUCUUCCGCAAUGGACGAAAGUCCGACGGAGCAACGCCGCGUGAGUGAAGAAAAGGGUUUUCGGAUCGUAAAACCCUGUUGUCAGAGAAGAACAAGUUGGAGAGUAACUGCUCCAGCCUUGACGGUAUCUGACCAGAAAGCCACGGCUAACUACGUGCCAGCAGCUGC